UAGGAAACUGAGUGUUUACUAAAGAUGGAAAGCUCCACAAAACAGCCAAUUUUAUAAGAUUUUUGGGGCUAACUGGGCACAGGACACGACUUGGUAUAAGUAAAAUAAACAGCUGGCCAUGGAAUAUGAUGAGAAGGUUAUUUUUCCCUGAUUAUAAUUACACUAAGAAA